GUUCAUCUAGUUUGCUAAAGUGUUGCCAUUAUAUUGAUGCCUAGUCUUUGCUAUUGUAGCUUUCAUCUGCGCUGGCUUAAAUAUUUAGCAAUACAGUAUAGAAUUUAACUUUCAAAAUAUUUUUGAUUCAUUCUGAAUUUUGGAGAACUUUCAUUAAGGUUUAUUGUAUGAUAUAAUUUAUUCAUGUGUUUGAUUUACUGAACAGUAUUCUUAAUACAGUGGAACCUUGAUAGACUGGAGUAAUUGGAAGUAAAUUUAGUUUUUUCUUCCCGGGAUCUGAGGCCAGACAGGUACGUUUAGGUCACAGGUGUCGUGUAUGUCGCUUGACGUACAUGUGUCUCGGUUUGAAUAUACGGGUUGUAUGUUUCUGCCAUGAGUGUCGGUCACGUCUCUUUCCCGCUACUAUAUAUAUUUAGAGAUAUAAGUAAUAGAAGGUAAGAGUGACAUGUUGAGAGAGAGGUAGAAAAAUCAGGGAAGAUAAGAUAUAAAGUCCCUCAAAUGCAUUCGACACAAAACAUAAACCAUCGACGUGGUGUCCGAGAACGUGUCAGUACCUCAGACAACACAGGAUAAUAAUUUCGUAGGUUUUGCCAAUGAAGAAUUAAGCAGCGGAGGUAUUCUUGGCAGGUUAGUAGAAAUGGAAGAUUUGCGGAAGAUUCAUGACAAAAAAAAUCUGAACUCGGGGAAGGAAAGUGAAGAUUUGCUGCUUUCAAAAAGUCACCAGCAUGACUGAUACUCUUUAAAAUACAGGAGUGACAAAUUAAGGAAUUAUUGAAGGAAAAACAAGAAGUGAUAAGGGACACUUUUGAAAGAGUCAACAAAAAUUUAAACGAAAAUGUGCAGUAACUCUUGAGGAAAUAGAUGUUUUGAUAUGUCCUGCAAGAACCUACAAUUGCACACACCACCACCAGCACUGGUGGUGGUCACCCUGCAAGAGGUAAAUGGGCAGAUGACCACAAUAUGCAAGAGCAUCUGCCAAGAUCCACUGUAUCUUGGGUGGAAAGGUCAGAUGCCAGGAUGUCGGACUUGCAAUUGCAGGUUGUUGCAGGAAGUAUCAAAAGAAAACCUUCACAUCUGGCCCCAAACAUCUCCAAUCUACCCAAAGUGAUGAGUCAAGUAGAGAGAAAACUGGUUGGCAUCUCGAACAGGAAAUAACUUAAGACUUAGAAAGCCAUAUAAGGAUGAGAUGAAAGAAAGUGAUAUGCAAGUAGUCGGAUAAAAGAAACGGUGAAAGAAGUGUAAGAAAGUCGUGAACAGGUACAAGACAGUGGACAGAAGUCCGUGAUAAUACUUAGGUGUGACGAAAAGGAGAUAGCAUCCAGGGUUGGACAGAGCCACAAACAAAUUUUUGGUAAAGUUGUAGGCUUAAAGGAACAAAGGGUAAUAUUAGUGAUUAUAGAAGAACAGGCAAAUAUGAAAAUUAUAAACUCACCCUUAAGGGUGACACAAAAUAAUAUGUAACAAGUGCUUGGAAAUGUUAGGAAAUGGCAAAAAUGCCGAGGAUGGGGAAACUGGUCACUGAAGAGAACACUUGUCAACACAAGACGGGGGGAAGCUCAAAAGGAACCUAGAUAAAGCAAAACAUUGAAAUGAAAGGAAGUCAAAAUUAUUUUAUUCUGAAAGGUGAUAGGGAUUGGAGGAGCAGUGAAGUGGAUCAUAUGGCGCACCCACGGCACUAGAACUAUGGGAAGAAAGGGAAGGGGAGUGAAAGUAACAGGUUCCCGGGAAAAUCUAAUGGAAUAGAUUUCUUAAAAAAAUAGAAUAGAAUAUUGAAGUUAAAGCAUAUAAUGCAAGUGAAGAUGACUGGUAUCAUUGUUCUGGCAGAGACUAAACUGGAAGAAUCAUAUUUAGAUGCUGUUGUGUACUCGCCUAGUUGUGCUUAUGGGGGCUGAGCUCUGUCACUUUGGUCCCGCCUCUCAACUGUCGAUCAACUGGUGUACAGAGUUGUAUUCUGAGGGGAUACUCGAUCUGGAGGUGCGGUGAGAUGGAACAUAAGGGACAGGGCAACCAAGGCACUAGAAGGAAGGGUGAGAAAGGAGAAACAUCAGAGGUUACCUUCCGUUGAUUUUGGGAAUCAAUAUCCCCACGGCCCGGUCUCUGACCAGUCCUCUUGGUUGGCCUCGUCAACCAGGCUGUUGGAUGAGGCUGCUCAACGCCUGAUUGAUCAGGUAUCCUUUGAAGAUGUUUAUCGAAUUCUCUUGAGCACUGUCGUGUUACACACAAGUAGAUGUGGAUUCUAGCAGUAAAGAUCUCGGCACGGUCUCCAGGCCAGCAAUUUCUCCACCAUUGAAAGAGGCUGUUAUUUUGCAACAGUAUUUCACUCUAGAGAGCACUAGCAUCUUAAAAAGUAUCAUUGGUAUGCCAUCCCUUGUUUGGAAGGUUCUUGUUAUUCAACCCAUCAUUUUUUUUGGAAAUUGUGACAGCUAGUGUGUUGUGGUCUUUGAAGGUAAGGUCUUCCGACAUGAUUACCCCCAAAUCGUUUAUAUUGCCUUUUCAUUCUAUGGUAUGAUUUGAAUGUUUUGUAUGUGGUUUCCCUUUUUCUAUUAAUUUAUUCUAUAGUGUGGGAACUGGAACAAGG
rnacentral:lncRNA from 1 species